rnacentral:rRNA from 1 species
GAUGAACGUUGGCGGCGUGCCUAACACAUGCAAGUCGAGCGAUCUUCUUCGGAAGAGAGCGGCGGACGGGUGAGUAACGCGUGGGUAACCUGCCUCAUACACAUGGAUAACAUACCGAAAGGUAUGCUAAUACAAGAUGAUAUAAGAAAUUCGCAUGGAUUUCUUAUCAAAGCUCCGGCGGUAUGAGAUGGACCCGCGUCUGAUUAGCGAGUUGGUAAGGUAACGGCUUACCAAGGCGACGAUCAGUAGCCGACCUGAGAGGGUGAUCGGCCACAUUGGAACUGAGACACGGUCCAAACUCCUACGGGAGGCAGCAGUGGGGAAUAUUGCACAAUGGGCGAAAGCCUGAUGCAGCAACGCCGCGUGAGCGAUGAAGGCCUUCGGGUCGUAAAGCUCUGUCCUCAAGGAAGAUAAUGACGGUACUUGAGGAGGAAGCCCCGGCUAACUACGUGCCAGCCGCCGCAGUAAGAC